CAGGCAUGCUGGCACUAGCCCUGGUUUCUUGAACACUGCGCCUGGAGGGAUUAACAAACUGAGAUCAUCUUGGUUCAUACUUAGGGCAUGAUGUUUUCUGGAGCACCUGGAUGACUCAAAGCCUUGACUACAGCUCAGGUUCAGUCUUCUAAAUGCUUCACCACCUCCCAAUAGCUCCACAGGCUGAGGACCAAGCAUUCAAUACAGAGCCCUUUGGAGGACAUCCCAUACCCAAACUAUAGCAGCCCAGCAGCUUUUCUCAGAACGCAAGCACACACACGCCAUGGCUGAGCGUCUGCUGGGUAGAUGCUGGGGAAACAGGAAAAUGACCUUUGG